rnacentral:rRNA from 1 species
UACGGAGGGUGCAAGCGUUAUCCGGAUUCACUGGGUUUAAAGGGUGCGUAGGUGGGUUGGUAAGUCCGUGGUGAAAUCCCCGAGCUUAACUCGGGAACUGCCGUGGAUACUAUCAAUCUUGAAUAUCGUUGAGGUAAGCGGAAUAUGUCAUGUAGCGGUGAAAUGCUUAGAUAUGACAUAGAACACCGAUAGCGGAGGCAGCUUACUAAGCGAUUAUUGACACUGAGGCACGAAAGCGUGGGAUCAAACAGG